AAACAAAAACAAAAAAAAAGAGUGACAAGAGAAGAGCUUCAUGCAAAUAAAGAAGGCAACAAGAAAGUAGGCACCAAUUUAAUUCAUACUCUAACUACUUAAACAUGCUGCUUUUAUGUUUUUUUUUUUUUUUGUGUGAUAUACAAUACAUCAGAGUCUGGCACAUCGAGCGAUAUCUAUAAUCUUCUCUUCUGUCACUAUUAUUCAUUCUCUUUAUUUCUGUAUCCUCGUCUUCUUCUCAUUUUCAUAACUUCAUCAGUGCCUCAUCAGUCAUACAUAUUAAGGACUUCAUAGCUAGC
rnacentral:lncRNA from 1 species